rfam:Theileria equi strain WA gcontig_1105316255047 apicoplast, whole genome shotgun sequence.
UUUUUUAUAAGUUUGAUCCUGACUUAGAAUGAACGCUUUAAACGUACCUAUGACACAAAUGCUAAUUAAACUUAAUUAAAAUUUUUAGAGUUUUAGUUGGGUUAGUGUACAGGUGAGUAGUAGACAAAAUUACAAUUUUAUUUUAGGUAUAAUAGCUUAUGUUUUACGUAAGUUGAUAAUCCCUUAAAUGUGUGUUAAGUAGUACAAGUUUAUAAAUUUUAUUUAAAAUUUAAUUUUGUUUUUUGAUUAGCUAGAUCAAUAUUAUAGCAGAAUAUUGAGGCCACGAUCAAUAACUGGUCUGAGAGGAUGUACAGUCACAUUAGAAUUGAGAUAAAGUCUAAACUUUUAAUUAAAGGUGAGCAAGAGGGAAUUUUCUGCAAUUAGCGAAAGCUAGACAGAGUGACGUUCAGUGAAGGGAGAAGCUAAAGUGUAAACUUCUGUGUAUAGUUUUAUUAUAAGUUAUGUAACUAUAAGAAAAUAUCGGCAAACUCUGUGCCAGCAGCCGCGGUAAUACAGAGGAUAUUAGUGUUAUUCAUAAUUAUUGGGCGUAAAGCAUUUUUAGAUGGUCCGCUGUAUUAAACUGGAAAUAUAAAAAUAUUAUUUUUAUUAGUUGGUUUAAGAUUAGCGGUCUUUGAGGGUAGUUUAAGUUUAAGGAAUUUAGUGAGUAACAGUGAAAUGUCUUAUGAGACACUAAGGAAGACCAAGAAUGAAAAUAUUAAACUGAUCUAUUUCUGACAUUUAUAAAUGAAAGCUAAAGGAGCAAAUGGGAUUAGAUACCCCAGUAGUUUUAGCUGUAAACUAUGAAUAUUAAAAACUGGGAGUGUUUUAUAUUAAAUUUUCAGUUUUAAAGUUAACGCGUUAAAUAUUCCGCCUGAAUAGUACGUUCGCAAGAAUGAAAUUUAAAGGAACUGACGGGAGCUUAUCCAAGUGAUGGGUCAUGUUACUUAAUUCGAUGAACCCCGAAGAAUCUUACCAACGUUUAGCAUAGUUGAUUGGUUAUUUUUAUGUAAUAACUUUAAUUAACUGAAAAGGUGAUGCAUGGUUGUCGUCAGCUAGUGCUGUGAAGUGUCAAAUUCAGUUUUGUAACUAGCGCAACCCUUUUCACUCAUUUUGUAGCUUAUUUUGAUAGGAUUUUCUUAUACGGUAGUAUAGUGAUCAAGGAAGAAAAGGACAACGUCAAAUCUUUAUGUCCCUUAUAUGUUGGGCGAAUUGCGUGACACAAUGAGGAAUACAAUACUUAUGAUUUUAGUUUUAGAAGAUUUUAAGAUUAAUUUUGUAUAGUUAAAAGUCCUCUAAGUACGAAUUACAAAUUGUAAAUUUUGUAUGUAAGGAGGAACCACUAGUAAUCGUUAGUCAGAUAUAUAACGGUGAAUAUGUAAGUAAGCUUUGUACACACCGCCCGUCGCGCCCCGAAAUUAAAUGGUCUAUAAAUUGUUUAUGGAUAAUGAAAGAUUAAGUUAAGAUCGGGACGAAGUCGUAACAAGGUAGCCGUACUGGAAAGUGCGGCUGGAUUUUAAAAUGU